rnacentral:tRNA from 1 species
GGAGAGAUAGCCGAGUGGUUCAAGGCGUAGCAUUGGAACUGCUAUGUAGGCUUUUGUUUACCCAGGGUUUUUCGUACCUUCAUCUAAUUCACCAAUGUUACUGACACCAGUUAGACCUUUCUUCG